rnacentral:piRNA from 1 species
UACACUUGUGCUGGCAACUCUCUGCCC